rnacentral:tRNA from 1 species
CAGAAAAUAGUUUAUAUAAAAUAAUAGUUUUGGAGAUUAUAGAAGUUGUGGCUUUUCUGA